GGUAAGAUGACUGAGUCGUCAAGUGGUGGAUUGUAGUCCCAUAAACAGAGGUUCAAGCCCUCUUCUUACCA
rnacentral:tRNA from 1 species